UAUGGUUUAUUAGAUCGUGCGUUCUACGUGGAUAACUGUGGUAAUUCUAGAGCUAAUACAUGCAACUGGCCCUAACUUUACGGAGGGGCGCUUUUAUUAGAUCAAAAUCAAUCAGGUUUCGGCCUGUUUUUGUGAUGACUCUGGAUAACUUUGUGCCGACCGCAUGGCCUUGCGCCGGCGGCGUAUCUUUCAGAUGUCUGCCCUAUCAACUUUCGAUGGUAGGUGACAUGCCUACCAUGGUUGUAACGGGUAACGGAGAAUCAGGGUUCGAUUCAGGAGAGGGAGCCUGAGAAACGGCUACCACA
rnacentral:rRNA from 1 species